rnacentral:rRNA from 1 species
UACGGGGGGGGCAAGCGUUGUUCGGAAUUACUGGGCGUAAAGGGCUCGUAGGGGGCCAACUAAGUCAGACGUGAAAUCCCUCAGCUUAACUGGGGAACUGCGUCUGAUACUGGAUGGCUUGAGAUUGGGAGAGGGAUGCGGAAUUCCAGGUGUAGCGGUGAAAUGCGUAGAUAUCUGGAGGAACACCGGUGGCGAAGGCGGCAUCCUGGACCAACACUGACACUGAGGAGCGAAAGCCAGGGGAGCAAACGGG